AGUUGAUCGGAUGCCCCGAAUGUAACAGAGUCCAAAUAAUAGAAAAAGGACACAUAACAAUUGGACUCAGUGUAGCAACUCGGCCCAAGAUGACAGAAUUGGCGGGAGGGGCCUAUUUAAAUUGACCCGAAUCUGAUAGUUAUGAUUCUUUGGGAAAAAAUUGAAUGUUUUGCUUGAUUUUGUAUUUCAAUUUAGGGUUUGGAAGGAUCAAUUCUGUAGUUGCAGGAGCAGCAUACCGGAGACGGCGGAGAGUCGACUUCUAGCUUUCGUUGAUUCCCGAAAUUGUAGCAGAAGUAUUUUGUUUCCAUGUCUCAGAGGUUUAGCUUAUAAUGCUAUUAUUGUUUGAUUUUCGUCGAAAUGUAUUGUUCCAUUUCAUUAAUUUUUUUCCCCGAUCGGUGUUCGUUUUUAGUUAUUUUGCUGGCGAAACAACUUUGAAAAUGUUGAAUACAGCAAUAGGCUAAAUGCAUAAUUGAAGUCACGGACAAUUUUUUUUCAGAUUGAAGUCCACUUAGAGCUAAAUGCAUGUUGAAGUUUCAAAUAGCUGACCCAAAAUUUCUCUGUUGAGAUGUAAUUGUUGUUGUUGUUAUCGGUUUUAAUCAAUUGUUUGUUACUCAUUUUUUCCUUUUCAACGGGGGAUUAAUACUCUGGGUAUAUAAAUUAUAUGAUCGUACUGGUUCAGACUUCAGAGUUAUUACAAAAUCUAAUGUACCUCUACCUCCUUGAAUUGCCUUUAUCUACUCGUAUUAACAUAAAGUAUAUUGUUGAAUUUUCUUUGGCAAUCUGCCUACAACGAUUUUUAACCAUUUAUAUGCAAAGCAGUAGUAUCUUGUUAAUAAGAGCAAGUGCUGAUCUGUCGCUAAUAUAGAUAGAGUGUACAUUCCAUUCAUGAUUUGAAGCUGCACGAUAGUGCUGGUUUCUACUUAGGCAGUGACAUUGUUAUCCUUUACAUUGGCAUUGCUGCUUUGCAAAUUAUAUUGCUAUAGAAAUACAUAUGGCCCAACUAUAUUGCUCUAUGAUUUGCUACAGAGCAUGAACAUCCAUCCGUGCUUGAGCAUUUGCAGUUAUUGGUGCUGGAGUCUUUGGGCUCCGUAGCUUUGCAACCAUUGCUUAUUCUGAUGAGCAUGAAGAAGGUCCAGUUAUCCAUGGCCUCAUGAAGAGGAAUUGAGGAAGAAACUAAAGCCAUGGAGGCAGAAAUUGAGGUGGUCGAUGAGCCUAAUGAUGAAGGUUAGAUGUUCACUCGGCCAGAAAACUGAAUGAUCAACUUCCACAGCUUUAUGCUAACAAAGCAGCUGCCGGCUUUGAUAAUGGAUGAUCCUAUCCUCCUGAGUCCUGAUCUAUGUCUUAUGACUACGGUAAUCUUUUAAAAGAAGUCCUUCAAUUUCCCUCUCAGUGAAUGGUUGGACCACAGCAAGUGAGUUUCAGUUUCAGAUGACUGAACAAAUCAAUAAGAAAAGAAUUUGGAUUAAAUUGUAUUAUCAUAUAAGAUGCUCAGACUAGAAUAGCAAUUUAGAAUGGAUAGAGAGUAAAGAAAACUCUGUGCGCUCCUAGCUUAAUUUUUAACAGUGCAUUGAUAAGUAUGUGUGGCAAUGAUUUGUUUAGAUUUAUCUCCUCUCGGAGUGUAUGAUAGAGUUUGGAUUACCUAUAUAUCAAAAAAAUAAAGAAGAUAAAGAGUUUUUUUUUGUGAAAGAAAAGAAGAUAAGAGUUUGAAUUCAUCUAACUAAAUAUUGACAGUGAAUGAGAGGAUUCAUGAAGGUAAUUUUAUUUGAUUUCUUAACAUUUUGUAGGUAUAUGUAUGACACCGAAGACUAAAUGAUUUAAACCCUCUAAUUUCUUUUGCAAUAUGGAGAAGGAUUAUCUCUGUAUAGUAACAUUACAUGGAAUUGUAACUCAGUCUCUCGCAUAAGCAACUGUAGGAAGAAA